rnacentral:rRNA from 1 species
AUUGAACGCUGGCGGCAGGCUUAACACAUGCAAGUCGAGCGGAGCGAGGGUGCUUGCACCUUAGCUUAGCGGCGGACGGGUGAGUAAUGCUUAGGAAUCUGCCUAUUAGUGGGGGACAACAUUCCGAAAGGAAUGCUAAUACCGCAUACGCACUACGGGGGACAGCAGGGGAUCUUCGGACCUUGCGCUAAUAGAUGAGCCUAAGCCGGAUUAGCUAGUUGGUGGGGUAAAGGCCUACCAAGGCGACGAUCUGUAGCGGGUCUGAGAGGAUGAUCCGCCACACUGGGACUGAGACACGGCCCAGACUCCUACGGGAGGCAGCAGUGGUGAAUAUUGGACAAUGGGCGGAAGCCUGAUCCAGCCAUGCCGCGUGUGUGAAGAAGGCCUUUUGGUUGUAAAGCACUUUAAGCGAGGAGGAGGCUACUUAGAUUAAUACUCUAGGAUAGUGGACGUUACUCGCAGAAUAAGCACCGGCUAACUCUGUGCCAGCCGCCGCUGUAAUAC